rnacentral:rRNA from 2 species
GCCACAUCGGGACUGAGACACGGCCCGAACUCCUACGGGAGGCAGCAGUGGGGAAUAUUGGACAAUGGGGGCAACCCUGAUCCAGCCAUGCCGCGUGUGUGAAGAAGGCUUUCGGGUUGUAAAGCACUUUCAGCGAGGAGGAAGGCUCUAAAGUUAAUACCUUUAGGGAUUGACGUUACUCGCAGAAGAAGCACCGGCUAACUCCGUGCCAGCAGCCGCGGUAAUACGGAGGGUGCAAGCGUUAAUCGGAAUUACUGGGCGUAAAGCGCGCGUAGGUGGUUAGGUAAGCGAGAUGUGAAAGCCCCGGGCUUAACCUGGGAACGGCAUUUCGAACUGUCUGACUA